AAUGAGCCUGCGAGUUGUGGUGUCUGGCAAGGUUAAGCAAACGCGAAGCCGUAGCGAAAGCGAGUCUGAAUAGGGCGCUUAGUCAGAUGCUGCAGACCCGAAACGAAGUGAUCUAUCCAUGAGCAAGUUGAAGCUAGUGUAAGAACUAGUGGAGGACUGAACCCAUAGGCGUUGAAAAGCCCCGGGAUGACUUGUGGAUAGGGGUGAAAGGCCAAUCAAACUUCGUGAUAGCUGGUUCUCUCCGAAAUAUAUUUAGGUAUAGCGUUGUGUCGUAAUAUAAGGGGGUAGAGCACUGAAUGGGCUAGGGCAUACACCAAUGUACCAAACCCUAUCAAACUCCGAAUACCUUAUAUGUAAUCACAGCAGUCAGGCGGCGAGUGAUAAAAUCCGUCGUCAAGAGGGAAACAACCCAG
rnacentral:rRNA from 1 species